CUUCAGCGAGCCCAGCCACAGCGGCUCCCCGCGCCCCUGCCCGUAGGUGGCGAGCAGGGCCUGCGCCUC
rnacentral:antisense_RNA from 1 species